CACACUAUCAUUAACUGAAUCCAUAGGUUAAUGAGGCGAACCGGGGGAACUGAAACAUCUAAGUACCCCGAGGAAAAGAAAUCAACCGAGAUUCCCCCAGUAGCGGCGAGCGAACGGGGAGCAGCCCAGAGCCUGAAUCAGUGUGUGUGUUAGUGGAAGCGUCUGGAAAGGCGCGCGAUACAGGGUGACAGCCCCGUACACAAAAAUGCACAUGCUGUGAGCUCGAUGAGUAGGGCGGGACACGUGGUAUCCUGUCUGAAUAUGGGGGGACCAUCCUCCAAGGCUAAAUACUCCUGACUGACCGAUAGUGAACCAGUACCGUGAGGGAAAGGCGAAAAGAACCCCGGCGAGGGGAGUGAAAAAGAACCUGAAACCGUGUACGUACAAGCAGUGGGAGCACGCUUAGGCGUGUGACUGCGUACCUUUUGUAUAAUGGGUCAGCGACUUAUAUUCUGUAGCAAGGUUAACCGAAUAGGGGAGCCGAAGGGAAACCGAGUCUUAACUGGGCGUUAAGUUGCAGGGUAUAGACCCGAAACCCGGUGAUCUAGCCAUGGGCAGGUUGAAGGUUGGGUAACACUAACUGGAGGACCGAACCGACUAAUGUUGAAAAAUUAGCGGAUGACUUGUGGCUGGGGGUGAAAGGCCAAUCAAACCGGGAGAUAGCUGGUUCUCCCCGAAAGCUAUUUAGGUAGCGCCUCGUGAAUUCAUCUCCGGGGGUAGAGCACUGUUUCGGCAAGGGGGUCAUCCCGACUUACCAACCCGAUGCAAACUGCGAAUACCGGAGAAUGUUAUCACGGGAGACACACGGCGGGUGCUAACGUCCGUCGUGAAGAGGGAAACAACCCAGACCGCCAGCUAAGGUCCCAAAGUCAUGGUUAAGUGGGAAACGAUGUGGGAAGGCCCAGACAGCCAGGAUGUUGGCUUAGAAGCAGCCAUCAUUUAAAGAAAGCGUAAUAGCUCACUGGUCGAGUCGGCCUGCGCGGAAGAUGUAACGGGGCUAAACCAUGCACCGAAGCUGCGGCAGCGACGCUGAUGCGUUGUUGGGUAGGGGAGCGUUCUGUAAGCCUGCGAAGGUGUGCUGUGAGGCAUGCUGGAGGUAUCAGAAGUGCGAAUGCUGACAUAAGUAACGAUAAAGCGGGUGAAAAGCCCGCUCGCCGGAAGACCAAGGGUUCCUGUCCAACGUUAAUCGGGGCAGGGUGAGUCGACCCCUAAGGCGAGGCCGAAAGGCGUAGUCGAUGGGAAACAGGUUAAUAUUCCUGUACUUGGUGUUACUGCGAAGGGGGGACGGAGAAGGCUAUGUUGGCCGGGCGACGGUUGUCCCGGUUUAAGCGUGUAGGCUGGUUUUCCAGGCAAAUCCGGAAAAUCAAGGCUGAGGCGUGAUGACGAGGCACUACGGUGCUGAAGCAACAAAUGCCCUGCUUCCAGGAAAAGCCUCUAAGCAUCAGGUAACAUCAAAUCGUACCCCAAACCGACACAGGUGGUCAGGUAGAGAAUACCAAGGCGCUUGAGAGAACUCGGGUGAAGGAACUAGGCAAAAUGGUGCCGUAACUUCGGGAGAAGGCACGCUGAUAUGUAGGUGAAGUCCCU
rnacentral:rRNA from 1 species